AGACAAGGCAGGGAGGAUAUUACAGCUUCUGGCAAGGCGAUGAAAUAUGCAAGGCUGAGAAGGAGCAAAUUAGACCACAGCAGAGAGAGCAACUAUCUCAGAGCAAGCUUAUGCUAUUUUCUUACCCUGGCACAGUAGUACAAAAAAUCCUCGGAGUGUCAGAAAGAAGCAGGCUGAGAAAGGUGAUGGGAGGAUACUGGAGAUGCAGCAUUAAUUCAGUGUGAUCCAUCACUCAAUCCCUGAUUUACUGAUUGCCGAACAUAACCCUGCACUGUCAGAGAAUGCAAGUACACAGAAAGAUUUCAGAAAAGUAAAGGUACAUAAAAAGCAUGCAUGAGAAAGGCAAAUACUCAGAAAAUAGUAAGGACCAAGAAUGACAAACAGAAAAAGAAGGGCAGAAAUAAAGGCAAAUAUGCACAGAGCAAGCAGUGGACAGAGAGAAUGGUAAAGACCUAAGUAAAAGUAGUGAUUAAGAGAAAGGUUAUCCCACAAAUCUUUCUGCAGUUUUUUUUCAUCUCUGAAGAAAGAAUUUAAUUGCAACAAUUAUGUUUCCAGAAGGGAAAUGAAGACCUGCUUUGACUAACAGCUAUACAAAGUUUAUAGUUGUAAAUCAUAGAUUUCUCUUCUUAUAUUGAUAUCUUUCACAGCUGCUGCAAGAAAAAUAUGAAAAUGCAAAUGACAAAACAUCAAAAUCUAUCAAGCAAGUAAAAAAAAACCUGAAAAAGAAACUUUUUUUUAAUUUUAGUGAACUUUGGGUGGUGGCAACAGUGAAAAUUCUAUAACCUUAUUUUGUUAUCACUAUAUCAACUGUGCCAGUUUUUCACAUAUGCAAAUACUUGUGCAUUACUGAUUGCCUGAUGUAAGAGCAGGAAUAAAACUCAGUCCUUUGAAGUCUUCUCUCAGUUUAAGAUUGCAGAGUUACCAUCAAGGUAUAGUACAGCAGGAUUUCCCUUUACAAAUGGGUGCAGUUUACACCAAUAUUUCUUGUUGCCAUUGAAAUUCAUUUCACAUAACCCAAAUGUCAAAGAAAAACAGUUUCUGUAUUAUUCUAAUGCAGUGUCAACCUGAGAUAUUAAUGGUGUCUAAAGAAAAAUCGUGUUGCACUUCUGAAGGACCUCCCACACAUAUCUCUUGGAAGAUCUCCACUGAAGCAACAAAAACAGCUCCCAGUUGGAGCCAAAAUACACCUUUAGCCUCAAACAUCAGUCUUCCAGCAGCAUGAAUGACACAUAGCAAGGAGAAAAAGAAGAUGCUGAAACAGCACACAGGCGCCUGCAAUUUCUGUGUUUCCUAAGAGCUUGGGAAGGCUCCUGACAGCCUUUCCAUACUGACAGAAGUACUACCGCCCACUCUGUCAAAGGCAGUGAGAUACAUCAGAACAGCAGGCUGGAAAUGGAGGAUUUGCUCCAGCGGCACAUAGGCAGAAGCUGAAAGGAAACUCCUGGGAAGGAGGAAGGAACUCUGUGAUGAGAGGAAGUGGGGUUCAGAAAGAGAGCUGCUGAUAGAUAUCCAGUGAAACCAACCUCAUCCAUUUUACUGUCAGGAGACUUCAUUUGUUUAUUAUGGCCUCAUCCUCAUCAUAUCAACCACUGUGUUUUAUUAACAGAGUGAAUUAUCUUGCAGCUCUCAAUAAAUUACUGGCUGACAUUAUGUUUUGGCUGCUUUUGAUUUGAUAUAAGGAAGGAGUUGCAACAAAAAUCACUGAAAGGAGCGGACAUCACCAUCCAUCACAUGACAGGGUGAUUAAUGGUACUGCUUUGACCUUUUCCAGUUAGUUCCAACCAGGAAAUAGGAAAAAAAUUCCCUCUAUAGCCCUCCUUGGACACAAUUUCCCUAGAACUAACUUGAUGCCUGGGGGGAAGGACAUCUGAUGUGGCCUCCAUCGCUGGAUGAGAACUGAUGGGCCACACCCAUCAAAAAGAUGCAGCUGGGAGCAGAAGUCCAUAAAGCUUUCCUCUGAAAUGGUAGGAAGAGGAAAUGCUUAGAGAGAGGUAAUUUGAAUCUGGUGUCCCUCAUACUUUACUGCUCUGAAGCAUGACGUGCAGGGCUGGGGCUAAGAUUUUUGAGUGCAAAAAUCUUGAGUGACUUUCAGUUUGAAAACCAGGUUUAAAGUGACCUGUAUGUUACAUGCUACCUCUCUAGGGAUAAUUCACUGAAACAUAUGAGAACAGAAAUUUUAUUAGUGGAAAACUUUGUAUGGCCUGUCCCUGCAGAUUACUAAAAAUGUGUUCCUCUUUCACUUUUUGUGAGUCCUGUUUUCCAAUGGUCUGUUUAAUGCCUCGAGUUCUAAGGUUUAUACCUUCCCACACUGUUUUAUGAAUCUUAAUCAUUAUUUUCUCCUCCAAUUAUGCCUUCAAAACAGAGUUAGGUCCCUCUUGUGCAGCUGAGCAAAAGCCUGUACCGCUGGCUUGCAACAGGAAGAGUUCUCACCAAGCUGAGUGUGUCUGAAGAAAAUACCCAACGGACCAUCUCUACUCAAAGAAGGCAGAAAACAUGAAAUGCUGAUGCAUAAAACCAGUUUGUUUGUAGCAACUUAAAUAUCAUUUGAAAUAACAAUUGUCAGUCCAAAAUCAGGAUGGGAAUGGGCAAGGAGAUUCUAGACUUGUUGGUAGGCUGGUGGAAGGAGGACAAGAAAUGAAGCAAAACUACAGCACACCAUUCUCCAGCAUGACAAAAUUGGGUUGAUGGCAGCAACUGAGAUCUGCAGCAGUGAGACUGAUCUGGAGAACAAAUAGAUUUAACUAAGUGGUUUAGCAGUGACUGGGAAAAGAGCAUCCAACAAAAAAAGGGUUUUAUCAAAACUCUCAAAAAGUUUGCAGCAGGAAAGGACAUCAGUGACCACAGCAAGUGAUGAUAUUUUAUUCUGCAGAGACACCUGGGUUGGACAAGAGCCACUGGAGUGAUUAAUCAGGUCUCUUCCCAGUUGGCUUUGUGACAAUUGCUUCCUCUGUUCACUUCAUCAGUCACUGUGUAGCAGAUAUGAUAUCAAAUAAAACUGUCUGCAGUGGAAGACAUGCACUCUUCUGUUUUUAUUGUUGUGAGAAAGUUAGUGUCAGUAAUUGUUCCUAACCCAGUUUAUCUGCCUCAGUGAUCCUUCCUUGACUGAAGUGAAAACUUUUGUUACAAAAUUUCAAUUGUAUUCCCUCACCUUAGUGUAGUGAUGAGAAGGACUCCAUAGUUGUUACAGACAUUCAAAAGUGGUUCUCAUUAAAGCUACUUUUAAGCAUUCUUAAGAGU